rnacentral:rRNA from 1 species
AACGAACGCUGGCGGCGUGCUUAACACAUGCAAGUCGAACGCGAAAGGGAUUUCGGUCCUGAGUAGAGUGGCGCACGGGUGAGUAACGCGUAAGUUAUCUACCCCUCCAUCUGGAAUAACUCACCGAAAGGUGUGCUAAUACCGGAUACGUUGGAAACAAGAAAGGUGGCCUCUAUUUAUACGCUACCGUGGAGGGAUGAGCUUGCGUACCAUUAGCUAGUUGGUAGGGUAAUGGCCUACCAAGGCAACGAUGGUUAGCGGGUCUGAGAGGAUGAUCCGCCACACUGGAACUGGAACACGGACCAGACUCCUACGGGAGGCAGCAGUGAGGAAUAUUGCGCAAUGGGGGAAACCCUGACGCAGCGACGCCGCGUGGAUGAUGAAGGCCUUUGGGUCGUAAAAUCCUGUCAGAUGGAAAGAAAUGUACAUGUGCUAAUAUCACUUGUAUUUGACGGUACCAUCAAAGGAAGCACCGGCUAACUCCGUGCCAGCAGCCGCGGUAAAGUCG